rnacentral:rRNA from 1 species
AGUGAACGCUGGCGGUAGGCCUAACACAUGCAAGCCGAACGGCAGCACAGUAAGAGCUUGCUCUUACGGGUGGCGAGUGGCGGACGGGUGAGGAAUACAUCGGAAUCUACUUUUUCGUGGGGGAUAACGUAGGGAAACUUACGCUAAUACCGCAUACGACCUACGGGUGAAAGCAGGGGAUCUUCGGACCUUGCGCGAUUGAAUGAGCCGAUGUCGGAUUAGCUAGUUGGCGGGGUAAAGGCCCACCAAGGCGACGAUCCGUAGCUGGUCUGAGAGGAUGAUCAGCCACACUGGAACCGAGACACGGUCCAGACUCCUACGGGAGGCAGCAGUGGGGAAUAUUGGACAAUGGGCGCAAGCCUGAUCCAGCCGUACCGCGUGGGUGAAGAAGGCCUUCGGGUUGUAAAGCCCUUUUGUUGGGAAAGAAAAGCAGCAGGUUAAUACCCCGCUGUUCUGACGGUACCCAAAGAAUAAGCACCGGCUAACUUCGUG